GGAGUCUGGGCCGUAUCUCAGUCCCAAUGUGGCCGUUCAACCUCUCAGUCCGGCUACUGAUCGCAGUCUUGGUGAGCCGUUACCUCACCAACCAACUAAUCAGAUAUGAGCCCAUCUUUCAGCGGAUUGCUCCUUUGGUAUCAUCGGGAUGCCCCGUCGAUACGUUAUGCGGUAUUAGCAGUCGUUUCCAACUGUUGUCCCCCUCUGAAAGGCAGGUUGCUCAUACAUUACUCACCCGUCCGCCACUAAGUCAAAUCCCUUCUUCGACGAAUCUCCGAUGAGAAGUGCUUCGUUCGACUUGCAUGUGUUAGGCACGCCGCCAGCGUUCAUC
rnacentral:rRNA from 1 species